rnacentral:rRNA from 1 species
AGAACGAACGCUGGCGGCAGGCCUAAUACAUGCAAGUCGAACGCACUCUUCGGAGUGAGUGGCAGACGGGUGAGUAACGCGUGGGAACCUUCCCAAUGGUACGGAAUAACUCCGGGAAACCGGUGCUAAUACCGUAUAAGCCCCUCGGGGGAAAGAUUUAUCGCCAUUGGAUGGGCCCGCGUCGGAUUAGCUAGUUGGUAAGGUAAUGGCUUACCAAGGCUACGAUCCGUAGCUGGUCUGAGAGGAUGAUCAGCCACACUGGGACUGAGACACGGCCCAGACUCCUACGGGAGGCAGCAGUAGGGAAUCUUGGACAAUGGGCGAAAGCCUGAUCCAGCCAUGCCGCGUGAGUGAAGAAGGCCUUAGGGUUGUAAAAGCUCUUUCGACGGGGAAGAUAAUGACGGUACCGUAGAAGAAGCCCCGGCUAACUUCGCGCCAGCAGCCGC